rnacentral:rRNA from 1 species
CCUACGGGUGGCAGCAGUGGGGAAUAUUGCACAAUGGGCGAAACCCUGAUCCAGCAACGCCGCGUGAGUGAAGAAGUCAUUCGUGAUGUAAAGCUCCAUCAGCAGGGAAGAAAAUGACGGUACCUGACCAAGAAGCCCCGGCUAACUACGUGCCAGCAGCCGCGGUAAGACGUAGGGGGCAAGCGUUAUCCGGAUUUACUGGGUGUAAAGGGAGCGUAGACGGCGACGCAAGUCCGAAGGGAAAUGCCAGUGCUCAACACUGGAACUGCUGUGGAAACUGGGUAGCUAGAGUGCAGGAGAGGUAAGUGGAAUGCGUGGUGUAGCGGUGAAAUGCGUAGAUAUUAGGAGGAACGCCGGUGGCGAAGGCAGCUUACUGGACUGUAACUGACGUUGAGGCUCGAAGGCGUGGGGAGCAAACAGGAUUAGAUACCCGGGUAGUC